GAAAAAUGUUAAGCCUUAUCCUUCAGUACAACACAAUGCCCCCAGUGCAUUAGUCCUGGUGAAAUAAGAGAGGAGAUAUUUCUGUUUCUUGCGAAGUUUUAUUUGGUGACUAUUUAGAGUCAUAAACACACAUUCCUUUUCAGACUGUAAAAGUCUGCUCCUCUAAACAACUUGUUAU